rnacentral:rRNA from 1 species
UACGGGGGGGGCAAGCGUUGUUCGGAAUUACUGGGCGUAAAGGGCUCGUAGGCGGCCAACUAAGUCGGAUGUGAAAUCCCCAGGCUUAACCUGGGAACUGCAUCCGAUACUGGAUGGCUUGAAUCCGGGAGAGGGAUGCAGAAUUCCAGGUGUAGCGGUGAAAUGCGUAGAUAUCUGGAGGAAUACCGGUGGCGAAGGCAGGUCUCUGGGCCGCAACUGACGCUGAGGAGCGAAAGCAUGGGGAGCGAACAGG